rnacentral:lncRNA from 1 species
CUAGAGUGAGAUCAUAACCCAUUGUAUUCUAAUGCAUUGUAUAAUUGAGUUAGCAUUAUUGUGAAGAAAAAAAACGUGAGAGGUUACGUAUUAGAUUAGUUUAUUAGAUAGAAUGAUUAGAGAAUAGAAAUUAAACCUUUUUUAGAGGUGUCACAUAGGCACAAUCCUAGCAUUAGAGAUAGUCAAGUUUAGUUUACAAAGAGAAGAAGAUAUAGAUAGAUAGAUAGAUGCUCCAAAGAUGCGACACCCAUCUUGUUCCUCAGCUCCUUAAACUUGUCAUGCUUCACAAAUUUUGCUGGAACGUCUGCUUCAUAUAUAACAGUAGGACAAUGUAACGGUUGUAGUCUCCUUUUAUUUACUUGAUCUCGUGAUUCCUUGUUUCAAUGUGUUUACGGUAAAAUGUCACAAUAUUUUUUUAGAUAGGUAAAGUUUCAUAUUGUUUAAUUUAAGUUUAACAAUUAGAUUGAAGAAAAAUAUGACAACUUAUAAUUUUUUUCUUGAUUUAUAUUGUAUUUCAAACGGUUCAAGUAAAAAAUAAUAAUUUAUUUAAGGAUUAAUAGGUCUUUACCCCCUGUAAUAUAGGUCAUUUCCGGUUUUUCCCCUGUAAAAUAAUUUUUUUGAUUUACCCCCUGUAAUUUUUUUUGUUUUGAUUUACAGGGGAAAAAACCUAUUAACCCUUUAUUUAAUAUGGUUCUUAAUCUUCACACAUUCUUUUCCCAUAACUUAUAAUAUAUUAAAAUAGACCUCGAAAUUAUUUGUUUACACCUCAUCAAUUAUACACUACAUGAUUACCUCACAUUCUCAUUCUCUUUUUCUUUUCUUUUUUUAACUCUUUCUCGUAUUUUCUACUCUCUAUGCCUUUUUUAAUGGAGGAUAAAUAAUAACUACAAAUAUAUUAAGAAAGGAUGAUAAGUUUUGUAACUUAAACUUAGAUAGAUUAGAUAGAAUAAGAAAGGGUGAGAAAUUAUUAUACUAUAUGGGAGAAUGAUUUUUUAGAGGUGAUGCAUAUGCAUAAUCAUAGCUUAAGAAUAAUGAGUCAUAUUUAAUUUAUGGGAAUAUCUUUGAGGUACCAU